CAGCCUUUCUGCAGCUCUGUGAGGGUUGACAAAUGCACACAGUUGUGCAACCACAGCCUGAAUCAUGAUACAGCAGAGUCCUUGGGAGGGGUUAAGCAAGACUCUGAGGUCACGUGCACCGGGCCAUGCACACGGGGGACAGGGCGGAUGCAGGGGGCCGGUGGGAGACGAGAGUGGCUGUCCAGGUGAGAAGAUGUGGGUCCGUUAGGACAGGUGGGAGUGGACAGCUGUAGGAAGGGAGGCCACAGGGCCCGGAGACAGCCUAGGGUGAGGCUGAGGAGCCGAGGGGGAAGGGGGCCCGCUGGGGGAUGCCCAGGAGGGGAUGUUCAGCGAGGGGGUCAUCAAUAUGUGACGGCCAAAGCUACGUCUGGGGGCUGGGGGGCACAACGGGAGUGCACAGUGUCCUGGGGCCAAGGAGGAUGUGGGCAGAGGUGACAGAUGCCACACAGAGGUCCUGCACAGUGUGCCCUGAGCAGGAUGCCUGGCUGUGGUGCGAUCAGGCCGCCGCUGGAGAAGUAAACGGAAGAGGAGGUGACAGACAGUGAGCACAGCCUGGCCCUCUCCAAGGGGGACAGGCCGCCGGCCCCAAGGCCAGCUGCCACGCGGGCAAUUUUUACAUUUUCCAGUAGCCACAUUAAGAAAAGUAAAACCAGGUGAGACAAAUGUUAAUAAUAUAUUCGAUUGAACCUGAUCGACCCUAAACACCGUCGUUUCAACACACAACCAAGACAGAAAUGGUCCGUGAGAUAUUCCACAUUCCUUUCGGAAACAUUUCUGCUUACAACACAUCUCAGUUUGGACUAGCGGCGGUUCAGGGAGCCACGUGACCAGCGGCGCCCUCGCUGGAGCGCGCAGGUCCAGGCAGGACCCGACCUUCCCCGGUGACUCACCCCUCGGCUCCCUAACCCCAGCCAUGGGAUCCUGUCUUUAGUGGACAUUUUGAUAUUUCAUAGCGUGGAUUUUUUUUGCAUUCAUUUUACUCUUCAAGAAGCUUGCACACCAGUCGUGUUUCAUCUCCCACAUAAAACAGGGUCCACACAUGCUCAGAGCAGCGUCGUUCAUGUGAACCCCGGGGUGGAAAUGACCCAAAUGGCCAUCAGCUGCUGGUGAACGGGUUGGAAAGUGUGGUCCCUCCAUACAGCCUGUGAUUCAGCCACAAACGGGGGAAGGAGCCAGGCGUGCUCGCACGGGAAGGGACCUGGAAGCGGGAAUGCAGCCGGGCACGAGCCACAUCGUGCGGGUCCAUCCCCACGGAGGGCAGAGGGGCAUGGGGAGCGGGCUGCUUUUUAGGGUGAGGCAGAUGUUCUCACAUGGUCGUGGCGAUGGUCGCACGACUCUGCGAGUAAACUGAACACCCUGAAUUGUACACUUGGAGAAGGUCAGCUGGAUGGUAUGUGAAUUUUAUCUCAAUAAAGCUCUUAUAAAACAUAUUUAGUCUCGCCUGCUGAGUAUUUUGGUGUCCCUGGAAAUUCUGCAUCCCAGCGGAGUGAGUGCCUCUCUCUCCUGGCCCUCGACCUGCCCGGUGACCCUCCCACGCCAAGCGCAGGAAGGACAGCUAAGGUGGGGAGAAGGCCCCGUGGAGGCAAGGAGGUAGCCUGGGAGAGGGGUGGUUAACUGAGGAGGUGAGGCCACAGAGGCCCCCAGCACCCAUCUGUCCUGUCGGAGGUCCCGGUCGCCCCUGCGCGGGCACCCUGGGUGGGAAGCACGGGGCUCGGCAGGGUUUCCUCCGAAGCCUGAUUCCAGGGCCCCGGCCUGGACCUGCCCACCCUGCCCAGCAGCCUGAGUCAGUUUGCCCGCUGUGUGCGUGUGACCCUCUGCUGUCCCCAAAGUGACUCAGGCAGCCUGAAAGCCCCCUCCCUGGGGACGCCUGGCUGCCCAUGGUGACUUUUUACAGACAUGGCUGGAGCGGCCGGCGCCUCCAGGCCCAGGCCCGGCUCCUGGGGCAGCCCAGCAGGGCCUUGGCCCCGCUGCCCACCCCCCCAGGGCCUAGGGGCGGGGGAGGGAAGCGGGGAACUCUUCUCAAAGGGCCUUUGUGGGAGUGCCUGGGGGGGCUGCCGGGGGACCCCGCCCUGCGUGACUCACGCCUCAUUGCUGGGCAGUGACUCACAUGCCCGGCCCCUCUCCCGCCGCCUGCAGCAGGUGCUGCCAGCUCUAGCCUGGGGUCGGACCUCUGCAGCCACCUCCAUGCCGGGCCACCCUGGGCCUGUGACCCACACCCAUCUCCAGGGGCUCCCACCUGGCCUUCUUGCCCUACAGGGCUAGGACCACGGAGAAAACUUCCCACACUCCCACCCUCCUUGGGGUGGGGCAGACCCCUCCUGGUACUGAGAUGUGCCAGCCACUGUCUCACUAUCGAUCCAUGCAACCCUCAAACCCUCCCAGAGACGGCAUCUUCUUGCUACCUCCUUUUCGCAGAUGGGGAACUGAGGCUCGGUGAGCUUACGGGAGUUUGCCCAAAGACAGGCGAUCAAAGCAGAGCCGGGCGGACUUGAGUAACAAUCCCAGCGACGCCGCGCCAUUUCCCCGGCCCCGCCGGACGCCGCACUUCUCACCUCAGAGCCUCAUAACGAAGACCAACUCCCUGCUUUCAGGCCCAUUCUACUGAAAGAAACUGGGGAUCAGAAAGGCACGAUCGCUUGGCCAAAGAUACCCAGCUGGAAAGUUGGGGAGUAAAGGUUUAAACACCGUUCUUCCUCUGUGCUCGCCUCCCCAGUCCAACACACUGGUCUCCUCGCUGUUUCUCAAAUACUCCAGGCAUGUCCCUGCCUCAGGGCCUUUGCACUGGCUGUCCCCGCAACCUGGCACUCUCUUCCUCCAGAUGUCUGCCGGGCUCCUCCCUCACCUCCUACAUGUCUUUGUUCAAAC
ensembl:lncRNA